CGUUGCGGGGCCCCCAAGUGAUGUGUGACGCUCGGUAUGGGGCCGGGCUGGGGCAGGUGACCACCCCGCACUCGAGUCAGCGCCCACACCGCCCUCAGCCCCCGCCCUGUGCCCACGCCCUUCUCCCGCUGCGCUGCCUCACCUGGGGCGUGUAUUCCACCUGCUAACCUGACGCCUGAAGCUGACGGCCUCGACGAAUUCCAUGGGACAAGUGUCGAUGUGAUGAAGACCAAGAGGCAUUCUGUGGACUUCCCUACGCAUGCAAGGGACGAGUCCUUUCUAAACCCGCGAGGCCCCAGCAGCACCCACGAGGACCUGCCGCAACCAGACCCACAUCGUGCAUCACUACAGGCCUCGGCGCAGAGCAGGUGGGCGGUAGUUUGUGGCAUCAAUAACAGCUAUUAUCCGAGGCGACAGGUCCAUGAUGCUCUUCUGAACCCAUUAUUCCAUUAUCACCAUUCCUUUCUUUAGAUCAAUUAGCAGCUCGUAAGGCGUAGUGACGGAACAAUGAAGCUAUCCAAUCAUGGGGCGGCUAGUGUGGGUGAGUGUGGUCAGGUAGAGUGACGUACACAAAUCUGGUGUUGCUGGCAUCUAGUGUGCAUAUGUGAGAUCAGACAGUCUUUCAAUAGUUCAAAAUGUUGCCUACAUUUUUUUUUUUUUGUGUGUGUCAUGUCUAUCAUGUAUCAUUUAUCACGACGGUGCACGUAAGAAAAUAUUUUCGUUAUUUCAGAAACGACAGUGCAUGAAAAUAGUAGGACCAAGUUUCUCUUCUUGUGUAAAAAGACCACAGGAAUACAAUGACAGGAAAGAAGAGGCGGCGAGAAGACAAAGCGCUGCUCUUCAUUUCUCUCUCUCUCUCUCUCUCUCUCUCUCUCUCUCUCUCUCUCUGGAUUGCGACAGGACUUCCAAGCCAGACCUGAAGCCCACUGUCGAGGAAAGAGUUGUGAAAUCAGUUAGGUGUAAAGUCUGCACUAUCAAGAGAGCUAUCCGUCGACAGUACUGGAGCCAAACAACUGUCAUGGAGUUGCUCUCUUUAUGGACAGGCUAAUAUGCACCGGAACAUCGAGAGAAUAUCUCCACGUCAACAAAAGCUCCAAUCAACACUGAAGAUUUUUUUUAUGUAGUAUUUUAUGUAGUAUUUAAGAUGUGUUGUAUCACUGUAUUACUAGUAUGUGAUUAAUAUAUAUAUAUAUAUAUAUAUAUAUAUAUAUAUAUAUAUAUAUAUAUAUAUAUAUAUAUAUAUAUAUAUAUAUAUAUAUAUAUAUAUAUAUAUAUAUAUAUAUAAUUUAUGUGUUUGUGUAUGUGUGUGUGUGCGUAUGAAAGUUGGUAUGGCGGUAGAAUAAGGAUAUAGUAAAUAGAUAUGUGACGUGCAACUGUAAAUUUCGAAAUAAUAACAAUGUGAUCGUUAACCUAAGUUCUGAUUGUAUUGUUUGCGAGAAAACACACUAAAAAUAAAAUGUUUAGACACAUAUAAAAGUAGGUAAGGUAUGUUGUGCUGAAAACGUGUUCAAAGCACACUGUCAACUGUAAUUUAGCAUCUAAAGUAAUCAUGUGUUGGUGAAAGUCACUUGGUGGAAUACAAACGCGGUGCAGAACUCUCAACUCACUGGAACAUUUCCAAGUAUUUCAUUACUUUAAUGUUUAACUUACGUUCCAUCCCACUAACUCUUGGCUAGCUUCCACGGAAUCAAAUAUCAUACUAACUUAAUAUCCUAAGGUAACAAAGUAAUAAAUAAAAUCGGAUAAAAUAAAGUAAUUUCAGAGAAUCACCCUGAGCUUACGAAAAAUUUGUCAUGCGAAUUAUUCAGACAGCAGUCAGGAUCAUAAAUGUUACACUACCAGGUGAAGUAAACUAUCAGAUUAUUACAGGAUCGAUGACUUCCCUAGAUCAUCCGAGUACAGGACGUAUCCUGUAUUUAGUACUCGUAACACCGCUACUAAUCCCACUAUGUAGAUCAUUAAUGUAUAUUAAAAAUAAUAAUGGCCAUAA